rnacentral:lncRNA from 1 species
AAUUGGUCUGAUUAAUGGUGUUUCUCAUCUUUUCGCAGGUAUCUUUGAGAUUUUAGAAACUUGUUGAUAACAAGGCAAACUAUGCAGAAAAUGAACAGCGUAUUAAUGGCUGCUAAACAAGUUAAUGAUCCUGAUGUCUGCCUUCAAAUUCUAUGGCGUACAUUUCAGUUUGACUUCUGUCAAAGAUGGACAGACUGAUUCUGAGAGGGUAUGAGUCUCAUAAUUUCAAUUUCAGUUUUGGAAAAUUGGACAAAGAUGAACUUUGAUGCAUCCUGAAGUCUCCUGUCUUGUUCUUCAUAACAACUGCCUGUUAAAAUUACAUGAAUUGACUGGAACUGCUAGUUUUCCCAAGAGUAUGUGCUGCAAGUGAUCAAGGCUUAAAGCCACGCUUAGCAGCACUGGUGGCACCUCAGUCAUAAUUGAUGGGAUUGAGGGAUAUGGUUUUAUAGCAGUUACUUGUAUAAUCCGACCUUGUCAGUAAAUCCCUACUCCACUUACAAUUUCAAACUUGCAUUAUUUUGUUUAUUAGUAGAGUGCCUCUUUGGAAUAAGGAUUUUUUUUUUUUUUGAGAUGAAUAACAACUAAUUUUUUGAGAUGAAUAACAACUAAUUUUUUCUAUCUAAAAUUUUCUUAAAUCUAAAAUCUGAAAUAUUUUGGGAAUAACAGUUCCAUCAUAUUUUUUACUCUGUAUAUGUUAGUUCUUUGUUCUCUUUCAGAUUUACCUCUUUGAGACUGAUAAACAUUUGCCAUUAUAAAUAAAUGUUUUCUGAAGAUUUAUAUUGCUUUUCUAAAAUCAAAGUAUUGAAAUAUAUAUGUAUCUUAUUUCAAUAUAUGUAUUUAAAAAUUAUAUAAUUAAAAUACCUUAGAAAUGGAAAUAAACACUUAAAGCAAUUCAUCCUCCAUCAGCCAAUCAAUAA